AUUGAACGCUGGCGGCAUGCUUUACACAUGCAAGUCGAACGGCAGCGCGGGCUUCGGCCUGGCGGCGAGUGGCGAACGGGUGAGUAAUGCAUCGGAACGUGCCCAGUAGUGGGGGAUAGCCCGGCGAAAGCCGGAUUAAUACCGCAUACGACCUGAGGGUGAAAGCGGGGGACCGAAAGGCCUCGCGCUAUUGGAGCGGCCGAUGUCGGAUUAGCUAGUUGGUGGGGUAAAGGCUUGCCAAGGCGACGAUCCGUAGCUGGUCUGAGAGGACGACCAGCCACACUGGGACUGAGACACGGCCCAGACUCCUACGGUAGGCAGCAGUGGGGAAUUUUGGACAAUGGGGGCAACCCUGAUCCAGCCAUGCCGCGUGCGGGAAGAAGGCCUUCGGGUUGUAAACCGCUUUUGUUCGGGAAGAAAUCCUCUGGGCUAAUACCCCGGGGGGAUGACGGUACCGGAAGAAUAAGCACCGGCUAACUACGUG
rnacentral:rRNA from 1 species